AUAGGGGAUGCUCUUCUCAGAGAC
rnacentral:siRNA from 1 species